GGUGGCUCAGUGGUAGAGUGCUUGCUUUGUAUGCAUGAAGCCCUGGGUUCGAUUCCUCAGCACCA
rnacentral:tRNA from 1 species